rnacentral:rRNA from 1 species
AGAACGAACGCUGGCGGCAUGCCUAAUACAUGCAAGUCGAACGAACUCUUCGGAGUUAGUGGCGCACGGGUGCGUAACGCGUGGGAAUCUGCCCCUUGGUUCGGAAUAACAGUUGGAAACGACUGCUAAUACCGGAUGAUGACGAAAGUCCAAAGAUUUAUCGCCCAGGGAUGACGCCCGCGUAGGAUUAG